rnacentral:lncRNA from 1 species
AGAGAUAAAAUUGUAAGAUAGUGUCAUCAGAAAACCUUUAAAAGCAUCAUCAGAAAACCUUUAAAGCUGUUUCACUUCUUUUAGGUUCUCUACCUUUCAUUUCAAAUGCCUAACCUCGUUGCAUGCAAAACCAUACUUCAAGCCUUUGUGUGUCUCCUUUUUGCAAUUAGAAAAACCACAAGAAGAUUGUUGAGAUUCACCUCUCUUUUCUUGUUUAUGAAACAGACAAUCAGAGAGCUUUGAUAUAUUGUAGUAAAGAUCAAGAAUUUUAUCACAGGAAAACAAUUAUGAACGCAACCAAACAGUUGGAUGUGGUGAGGCAAAACUUUUUCAUUUUUUUUUUAUUAUGAAUGCCAACGAGGUCUAGAUUACAAAAAAACAAGGUUUCAAUAAGAAUACAUAUUAGGUCUUGAUUACAAGGAUGAAAGAAAAGCAUAAAGCCUUGGUAUUUGUUAGACAGACCAUAGUGCCAACACCUCGUAAAGUAUGUGAAUUGGUUGAGGGACUGUGAAACAGAAGCUAGAAUUUGACGACUUCUAACAUCUAGAGGAAUAAAAUUAAAAUAUUAUCACAAAAUAUUAUUCCCAGUGACUUCAACAGAAUUUUUCUCAUCUGUCUAAUCAGAUAUAGGUUCCUGAUCAUUUUUUAUUUCCGAGGAUGACUCACGCAUACAGAAAAAAGACGUAAAAACCAAAUAGCAAGACAGCAAUAAACAUGGGGAUAACUUUUUGCAAAUUUACUCUCUUCAGGAGUUUUUCACUAAUGAUGUAUAAUGAGUGGAUCAUGUUAGUCAUGUUGUAGAAGGAGAUAGAUGAGGUCAUGAACGUGACAGUCCCAGAUUGACAUGAACCAUGUCAUUAUCUUCUCUAUAUCCCACAUUUUAAGUAAGAGGUUUCAGGGAUUGCUUAAGGUUGGAGCAUAGAUCUCUAGAGUUGUAACCUUGUCUCAAUACCUAAGCCACUUUUAUUAAGCAAAUAAUUUGUUAGUUCACCUAUGUCUUCUACUUCACUCCUUUUUUUGAACAAUGGUGGGAAAAGACCGUAUACGUUCGGACAGGCAAACUCAAGUCCUCUUGGCAGUCUUCUACUUCACUUUGGUUACAUGUUCUGAACCCUGUUUCUAUCUAAAGAUCAUGCUCAACGCAUGCUACAUUAGAGCUUAUAUUUGUUCCAUGAUAUAAAAUAUAUAGAUGUCUCAUACUCCCGACAACCAAGCCAUCUCUUAUGCUGGUCUUAAAUCUUUGGAAAAAAAUAAUGAUGUCAACAUCAAUAAUGGAUCAUCCAAAUUGAAGAUUCAUACCUGAAGGUAAUCUAUACUACAAACAAAACCUAGAAACCUAAAUUUAUAUAUUUCAGUAAUCUCUAAUCCACACAUGAAAUAGAUAAAAAAUGAAGGGUGACAAUUGUACUAGCGAUUUAAAAUACAUGGCAGGAGACAUAAAUUCAAAAUCUUGCAUGAUCAUGAAGAACACAUCUUAAAACAUGGGUAGACUUAAAUUCACGGGACUUUGAUGAUUAGAUUCAAGUAAAAUAUAAUAUUAUUUACAAUAUUCGUUCAUUUUUGUACCCAUUUUUUGAUUUGGUUGAGACCACAAAACUACGUGAAUUUUUAUUUUUAGACAUUUUUACACUAUAGAUUAUCUUCAAUAGUUUGGAUUUUCAAUUUGAAUGGUUUAUCGUUAAUUCUAAAUCAUAAAGCAUGCACUCCAGCCCUAAUGUUAAACAAUUUAAUGAGUGAAUUGCAACAAGUUAAACUUAUCAGCCUCUAGGGUGUAUGGGCCAGGCCAACAUGCUAGCCCUAAAGCCCUGGCUGAGAUAAAUCCCAAACUUGGGCUAAGAGGGGGUUGGGCCCAUGCUUAUCUAUAAUUCUAGAACACCGCCUUCUAUGAUUACAUGUCAGGAUUCUAUGAUUCUAUGGGGUGAGUAGCAUAGGGUCCACCUUCCAAUGAGUUGAACCACCGCAAUAUGGUGAAAGCAGUACUCACUAAGGGUACGAAUGGGUUGAGCAGCUCACGAGCUCCUCGAGCACAAUUCGGCUGUUACUAAGCUUGAAGAGCAAAAUACUUGGCUUGAAAACUGACGAACCUAGCCGAAAAUACAUAUUUUUAAUAAUAUUAUAUUUUAUUUAUAAUAUAUAUUAUUAAUUUAAUAUUGUAAACUAUAAUAUUAUGUUAUAUUUUCUUUUAAUUAUAUUUUUUAAUUAUGACCAUAGC